CAUAGGUUAAUGAGGCGAACCGGGGGAACUGAAACAUCUAAGUACCCCGAGGAAAAGAAAUCAACCGAGAUUCCCCCAGUAGCGGCGAGCGAACGGGGAGGAGCCCAGAGCCUGAAUCAGCAUGUGUGUUAGUGGAAGCGUCUGGAAAGGCGCGCGAUACAGGGUGACAGCCCCGUACACAAAAGCGCAUGUGCUGUGAGCUCGAUGAGUAGGGCGGGACACGUGGUAUCCUGUCUGAAUAUGGGGGGACCAUCCUCCAAGGCUAAAUACUCCUGACUGACCGAUAGUGAACCAGUACCGUGAGGGAAAGGCGAAAAGAACCCCGGCGAGGGGAGUGAAAAAGAACCUGAAACCGUGUACGUACAAGCAGUGGGAGCCCCACCACUAA
rnacentral:rRNA from 1 species